GUGGUUUGACCGGGGUGCCCUUUUGUAAAAAAGAAUCAGAGGGUCCUGAAGCCCUAGCUCAUCUAAUUCUUGAUCUACAGGUUAAAUAAUAUCAAACUACUUAUGCAUACUUUGUAAUUAUUUUAUCUCCAUGUGAUACUUGAAUAGUUAUUUAGUUACAGCUGUCAAUAAUAUGUAAAAUGUAUUGAACACUGAAUAGACGCAUUUUACAUUUUAUCCUCAACAGAAUACUGAAGAGAGUGCUGUUGUUAUCUCCAUUUUCCAGAUGAGAAAAUAGAGCUGAAAAAGGUUAAGUAACUCCCCUGAAGUCCAAAGAUAGCAAGAAAAGUUUAGAUUGCAAAUUCAGGUUCUGGAACCAUAUGCCCGACUCCUGAUAUGUAGUGCUCAUUCCAUGCCAGACUCUUUGCCCAGCACUGGGGUUACAUACACAACUGAGAGUGACACAGUCCAUCCUCUCUGAGACCUUUUCUUAUUCCUCAAAAGGUUUCAGCAGCUCAGUUUAGAUGGAGUAAUAAAGUCAGUAAUAAAAAGCCAGUUAGAAAAGCCCCCUUACUCUUUGCUACAAUUACAUGGAAUUAAGUGGUUAAAAAGAAGAGAAAGAAGGAGAACUUUCUGAGAAGAGAGCUGAGGAAAGAGGUAAAGAUGUUAGUGUGUCAAGGACAGGGUGAGCUAACCAGACUGGUAGGAUUGUAAUGUUGAGGAUGGGACAUCCUGGGGGACAAAGAAAGAACUAUGUGCAUUAGACACCUGGUGUAUUGCAAGCUACAUGUUUCAACAUGCAUUAGUCCACGUCAUUCUUACAACAAACUUGUGAAGUAGGUAUAAUGAUCCCAUUUUAUAAAUAAGGAAAAUAGAAGGUUUGACGGGUAAUUUGAGACCACAGCAUACGAAACCUUGACACGACCAUUUCUCUUCCUUUCCUUUAACUGGUAACCUCUCAGUUCAACCAUUCUCCUGCAGAUUAGAAUUGACUAUUAGAAACCAUGGCAACCCCGGAAACAUUCGGAACACAACAAAUGUAUGUGGGAUGGAAGUGUAUCCAAGAACGCAGUGUAAUUCAGGACAAGCAGGUUUGGGGAGUACUUCCUGGGGAGGUUCAAGAACUUAAGCAAAGGCUUGAAUAUGAGCUCCCAGAUUCUGGACCUGUGAUUUCUGAAGACCCAACUCAAUAA
rnacentral:lncRNA from 1 species